UACGUAGGAGGCGAGCGUUGUCCGGAUUCAUUGGGCGUAAAGAGCGCGCAGGCGGCUUGGUAAGUCGGAUGUGAAAUCCCGAGGCUCAACCUCGGGUCUGCAUCCGAUACUGCCCGGCUAGAGGUAGGUAGGGGAGAUCGGAAUUCCUAGUGUAGAGGUGAAAUUCGUAGAUAUUAGGAAGAACACCGGUGGCGAAGGCGGCCCACUGGCUCGAUACUGACGCUGAGGUGCGAAAGCGUGGGGAGCAAACAGG
rnacentral:rRNA from 1 species